AUCAUAUGCAGCUCCUAGAGCAGCAUUCGAUACAAUAUUUCCCCAUUAAAAGCAUUUGAUUGGACAUGUUACUCUCCUCUACAUCUCUAUGAGGAGCAUUUGAUUGAACAUUCAUGAAGGAAGCAACACCCCUAGGAUGACAUAGCAGGAGGAGGAGUGGGCAGCAGCAUAGGAGUCUCAGGGCCAGAAAAUAAGUCAUUUUUUUCUGUAUUUGUUUUACAGGUUACUAGGUUGGGGCCCUGAAUGUAAUUAUGGACUAGGAAACUAAAGCAUUCGGAAUACGUG